ACACUGAUUACAUACUUCUAACACUGCUAUUAUGAGGUAUCACCAUAUGUCAUUCUGUUUUCUUUAGAUUAGAUUAUAUGAUAUCAAGGGGAAUCGCUAUACUUAAUAAUCAUGGGUGUUGUG